CAGCUCUCCGAGUGGUGUGGAUGUUUAUUGGGCCUAAAGCAUCCGUAGCUGGCUGGGCAAGUCCCCUGUUAAAUCCACCGAUUUAAUCGUUGGUGUGCGGGGGAUACUGCUCGGCUAGGGGACGGGAGAGGCAGACGGUAUUUCCGGGGUAGGGGUGAAAUCCUAUAAUCCCGGGAAGACCACCAGUGGCGAAGGCUGUCUGCUAGAACGCGCCCGACGGUGAGGGAUGAAAGCCGGGGGAGCGAACCGGAUUAGAGACCCGCGUAGUCC
rnacentral:rRNA from 1 species